GACGAACGCUGGCGGCGUGCCUAAUACAUGCAAGUAGAACGCUGAAGGAGGAGCUUGCUCGUCUGGAUGAGUUGCGAACGGGUGAGUAACACGUAGGUAACCUGCCUGGGAGCGGGGGAUAACUAUAGGAAACGAGAGCUAAUACCGCAUAACAGUAGAUGUUGCAUGACAGGGACUGAAAAGGUGCAAUGGCAGCAGUACCAGAUGGACCUGCGUAGUAUGAGCUAGGGGGUGGGGUAACGGAUCACCAAGGCGACGAUACAUAGCCGCCCGGAGAUGGGGGUCAGCCACACUGGGACUGUGACACGGCCCAUACUCCUACAGGAGCCAGCAGUAGUGCAUCUUCGGCCAUCGGUGGAAAUCUGACCGAGCUACGCCGCGGCAGUGAACAAGGUUUUCGGAUCGUAAAGCUCUGUUGUAAGAGAAGAACGCGUGUGCGCGUGGAAAGUUCACACUGUGACGGUAUCUUAUCAGAAAGCGCCGGCUAACUACGUG
rnacentral:rRNA from 1 species